GAGAGAGAGAGAGAGAGAGAGAGAGAGAGAGAGAGAGGGAGAGAAGUGGUCUGUAGCGAAUCGCUUUUAUCCAAGAGAACUGGCCCGUGGAUCGAUUUUAAUUCGCGUUUUCGUUGAUACGUUUAAAUCGGGUCUCGCGGCACGUAGGUAUGCGUGUCAGUGCACUCGUGACCCAUCUCGUUCUUCGAUGACGUCAUUGCUCGCUGCGCUUAAACCUAUGACGAAUAUGGCGCGCUAGGGAAACGGGAGUGGCUGCUGGCAGGGUUCUUUUAACCGGUACUCGAAAGGUGAAACUCGAUCGGGAAAGCGAGGAACGAUGUUGCGGGGCAGCUCGGACGAAUUUACACGCUGUCGGCGAUCGUUUGAUCGGCCCACGACCAUCCGAUGCGACCAGUUCACCCACGAGAAAUUAAUUGCAAUUUUUACGCUGGCUGGUUCCAAAGGACGCCGACGCGUAAUCGAGUAUUUCAUGGCCAGCUGUUUCGAGUGGAGAAGUCGAGCCGUGCGCUACUCCCGUCGAUUCCAAUCAGAUUUUCUUAAGAAGAUCAGCUUGAAAAGUUACAUCCGGUAAUUAACGGCGGAACGAAGCGCUCUUCAAAGUCGGCCAAACAAAUGGGAUUUCGAAGGAAGUCGCGGAUCAGCGAACGAUCUGUUCGAUUCCGAACAGAUCACUGGAAAUACCUGCAUAUUAUGAGCUUUGUAUAAAGUCUGUAUAAAAUCGCGGAGGAUGGCCUGGAUGGCGGGAAAAUGGCAAAUUUUUACCCAUUCGGACAUUUCAAAUUCUAAGGAAGCGUCGUACUACGAGUCCCGAGGUAUCGUAAAAGUAAAGUAACUCACGACAGAUGUGACAUGUGACAAGUUGAAUACAUUGUAGGCGAAUGAUGGUAAUUUCGAAACGAUAUAUACGACUUGCUUCUAAAACAAGAUGGAACGUGUUUAACGUAUUUCGAGAUAGGUCGGCCAUAUCCACGUUUCUUACAACUUUCCUAUGGCAUUCGCUAUAAAUUUGCUACACUUGUAUACCGUAUUGGAAUUUUAUGCGCUCAAAGUGUUACGCUUUGACGCUUUGUCGCUAUGCUUCUUUCUCGAUUGGGGGAACACGAGCAUCGUCACGCGUUCCUAUAUUUCUCCAACGGAUCGCCAUUCGUCAUCGAAUCGUCUCGUUUUUCGAGCUGCUGCCCCUUUUCCCUCGAGUCAGCUCGUGGUAACGCGCGCGCGGUUCCACGGCAACGCACGGAGCAGCGACAGCGACGGUCCAUCCCGAAAUCCAUCCGGUGACGUUCGAACGAUAACGCGAUACACAGAUAGGUAAUUAAUCACGUCGAUUAAUCGAUCGAAUCUUGAUUCAGUCUGUAUACGCAAAUAUGUGGAUCGUCAUAUCGUGACAUGUUUAUGACGCUUAGCCAGCCGGUGACGCAAACUUCAUUAUACAUAAUAGCGCGACAGAACGUCGCCUGCCUCUUCGAGCAAAAAUUAAUCACGCUCGCGGCCAUGCGCGGCCGCGACAGCGGAUACUAUUUCGAGUUUUCAGGUUGAGAAGGAUAAAAAGAAAGUCUUAAUCACCGGUUGCGAACGAUAUCUCUUUUAGAAAUAAAAUAAUAAAGCAACUGGGACACCGUCGCUCCAGUUCCUUCGUACGUACUUAUACUCUGCCACUUGUCGAGAAAGAAAAUUCAAUUUAGCUAAGUUCCACGUUCCUUCGAGAGACGCAUUAUUUAUCUAGCGUGGAGACAGCGUGAGCCGCUCGCGUCCAAGUAUUUACACUGGUCGCGGUCUCGCGUGAACACGUCCAUGCACCAUCAGGCGAAAUCGAUACGAGAUUACGCAGCGACUUAUUAAGAUUAACGGUCUGCGUGCAAAACGUACAACAUAAGCGUGUGGUUUUACGCACAGUGGCGAAUCGCGACAUGCAAAGUGCGUAACAGUAGUAACGUAACGCGAUAUUAUGAAUAAUGCUGUUUCUGGAUUCAACGCGGCGGAAAUGCGCGACAAUGGUUACGUAUUACGCCCUGUCUAUUCAAGAUACGCUCUCUAUUUUAUCGCGAAAUCGCUCCUUCGAUCGCCCAACGAGAUUUCUCUUCUUUCUACCUCCAUUUUCUUAUUUCGUUUCGUUUCGAACGAGACUCGCUCGAGUCGUCGAGUUCUUCGGCGAAACAAAGAAAGAAAGAAAGAAUGAAAGAAAGAAAAGAACGAAAAGGAAAAAAGACGAGAAGGAGAUGGAAUAAAAAGUAGAGACGCGAACUUUGCCGUGAAAAUGUAGAGAGUUGGCCCGAGGAGAACAGCCAACCCGACACUCGCGAAACGAUAUCGUCGUGUCAUGCAACACGCGUUGGAGGGAAAUGGUUCACUGGAGGCUCAACGCACGCUGUAUAUAGCGCUGCCUUUAUCUUUGAGUGUCGGUAGACGGAAGAGGAUGAGAAAGGAUCCGGGAGGCCGGAUAACAAUCACCGAAUAUUCUCGACGGUCUGCAACAGGCAAUCGUGUGUAACCGGAACACACGCCAUGCCAGCCUACCCAACGAUUAACGACCGCGUCCGAACAGAAUUUACGAGAACGAGCAGAGGAAAGAUCAGAUGGAGAGACGAAAAGACGUGCGCGAAGGAGGCAGCUAAAACUGGCACGUAACGAGCAACGACCACGUAUAAAAUUACAGGAUCGCGUGCCAACAAGCAUACAUCAGGUAGAGAGGAAGCAAAGAAGGAAGGAAGAAAGGAAGGAAGGAAGGAAGGAAGGAAGGAAGGAAGGAAGGAAGAGUGGCCCGGAGGCAGCACAGGCGAGCGAUAGUAGGGGGAAAUGGGCAGACAAACAGAUAGGAUAGGCAGGCAGGCAGGCAGGCAGGCAGGCAGGCACAAGCAAACAAGCUAGCAGGCAGAUCUGCGGACAAAUAGGCAGGCAGGCAGGCGUUACCUCGCUUGGACGUGCUGUCGGCGCUGCUAAUAAAUCCAGGUACGGCAAUCACGAGAACAAAGAGUCCACAGUGUAGCCAAAACAUGUUUACGUCUUAACAACAUUGUUUAAUUCCAUUUUACAUGACGCUCGUAAAACACUACGAUGGCGGUGGUGCUCAUGUCGCGCAUAAUCAGCGAUACUACCUGGUCGCCAGUUGGAUCAUGAGUACACGACUGACUGACUGGGUUACGCGGUUCGGGUAGGAGCGUAGAA